CUCUUCUUUUGCUUCUAGUUACCAUCCUCAAAGGAUUGACUAAAAGCAAGCAACUGGAUUGAACACCCUAAGAAGAAAGACUUACACUGCACCAGUUCAGUGAAGGUCGAGAAAGGGAUCACGAACUACAUCACAGAAGGCAUCAUCACCAAUCACCCAAAUCUCACUUUGAAUUACCACAUUAUCCUGGACUGCUACCUCACCAGAAGCCGUUUAUUACAAAGUCCUAUAAAUGUCUACACAAACGCUGUAGGCCUAAGCUUCCACCUUCACCUAAUAACCCCAACAAAUUCCCAAAUCCUCACCGGCCACCUAAACAUCCAGAAAAAGAUGGCGGUGUGGUCAACCCUACCUUAGUGGCUACAACCCAAAUUCCAUCUGCGACUUCCCCAUCAGCUUCCACCAAAAUUACUACCCUUCCAAAUUUGACUUUUCUUCCUCAGAAUGCCACCUCCAUAUCUUCAAGAGAAAAUCUUAACACAAGCUCUUCUGUAGCUACAUUAACACCAGUGAAUUCCCCACCUCCACAAGACACCACAGCUGCCCCACCCACACCUUCUGCAACUACACCAGCC
rnacentral:sRNA from 1 species